CGGCGGACGGGUGAGUAACGCGUGGGUAACCUGCCUUACACAGGGGGAUAACACUGGGAAACCAGUGCUAAUACCGCAUAACAUCAUUUUAUGGCAUCAUGAAAUGAUCAAAGGAGAAAUCCGGUGUAAGAUGGGCCCGCGUCCGAUUAGCUAGUUGGUGAGGUAACGGCUCACCAAGGCAGCGAUCGGUAGCCGGACUGAGAGGUUGGCCGGCCACAUUGGGACUGAGACACGGCCCAGACUCCUACGGGAGGCAGCAGUGGGGAAUAUUGCGCAAUGGGGGGAACCCUGACGCAGCGACGCCGCGUGAAGGAAGAAGGCCUUCGGGUUGUAAACUUCUUUGAUUGGGGAAGAAAAAUGACGGUACCCAAAGAACAAGCCACGGCUAACUACGUGCCAGCAGCCGCGGUAAUACGUAGGUGGCGAGCGUUAUCCGGAAUUACUGGGUGUA
rnacentral:rRNA from 1 species